CGCAUCUGUGCAUGCAGCAUAUCAAUAACGGAGGAAAAGAAACUAACAAGGAUUCCCCUAGUAACGGCGAGUGAAGCGGGAAAAGCUCAAAUUUGAAAUCUUAAAGGGUUUCCCUUUACGAAUUGUAGUUUAAAGAAGUGUUUUCUGUUGAGGUUUUGGUAAAAGUUCUUUGGAAUAGGACAUCAUAGAGGGUGAGAAUCCCGUAUUUGACCUUUACUUUCAACUUUGUGAUACACUUUCAAAGAGUCGGAUUGUUUGGGAAUGCAGUCCAAAAUGGGUGGUAAAUUUCAUCUAAAGCUAAAUAUUGGCGAGAGACCGAUAGCGAACAAGUACCGUGAGGGAAAGAUGAAAAGAACUUUGAAAAGAGAGUUAAACAGUACGUGAAAUUGUCAAAAGGGAAGCGUUUGACACCAGUGUUGUUUUUCUGAAAAUCAAUUAAAGAACUGUUUAUGCUAAGCUGUUUAGACUUUAUCAGCUAACUGUUUAGUUUUGAGCUUUUCUUUAAUGCACUUUUCAGUUAACAAGUCAACAUCAAUUUCCUUUUGCUGUAAAAAAGCUUGAGGAAGGUGGCUUGAGAUUCGUCUUAAGUGUUUAUAGCCUCUUGCCUAUGCAGUCGGAGAGAUUGAGGUCUGCAGCGUAGAUCCUUCGGGGCUAAAUGCAUUUGUGCUAAGUUAUAGCAUUUUAUAGACAACUUGUUGACUAUGAUUUGUCUUGUAGCUUACUCGCUUAUGUUAUUUUACCUACGCUUAGGAUGUUGAGUCGUAGAGCACGCAG
rnacentral:rRNA from 1 species